rnacentral:rRNA from 1 species
AUUGAACGCUGGCGGAAUGCUUUACACAUGCAAGUCGAACGGCAGCACGGACUUCGGUCUGGUGGCGAGUGGCGAACGGGUGAGUAAUGUAUCGAAACGUGCACGGGCGUGGGGGAUAACGUAGGGAAAAUCACGCUAAUACCGGAUACGAUCUAUGGAUGAAAGGGAGGGAUAGCAACACCACGCGCGAUCGGGGCGAGCUGUAUGAGAUUAGGUAGUUGGUGGGGUAAAGGACCACCAAGCCAACGAUCUGUAGCUGGUCUGAGAGGACGACCAGCCACACUGGAACUGAGACACGGUCCAGACUCCUACGGGAGGCAGCAGUAGGGAAUUUUGGACAAUGGGCGAAAGCCUGAUCCAGCCAUUCCGCGUGCAGGAUGAAGGCCCUCGGGUUGUAAACUGCUUUUGUACAGAACGAAAAGGUUUCUACUAAUACUAGGAGCUCAUGACGGUACUGUAAGAAUAAGCACCGGCUAACUACGUGCCAGCCGCCGCAGUAA